AUUUGCAAUUAGUACUCAUCAGAUGACA
rnacentral:piRNA from 1 species